UACAGGGGGCUCGAGCGUUAGUCGGAAUCACUGGGCUUAAAGGGUGCGUAGGCGGCUCGUCAAGUGCUUUGUGAAAUCCCACAGCUCAACUGUGGAACAGCAGGGCAAACUGACGAGCUUGAGGCAGGUAGGGGCCGGAAGAACAGUAGGUGGAGCGGUGAAAUGCGUAGAUAUCUACUGAAAUGCCGAUGGGGAAGCCGUCCGGCGUGGGCCUGUCCUGACGCUGAGGCACGAAAGCGUGGGGAGCAAACAGG
rnacentral:rRNA from 1 species